UAGAAAUGUAAAUGUAAGUCGCUUUGGAUAAAAGCGUCUGCUAAAUGACCUCUA
rfam:Gasterosteus aculeatus cont1.011780, whole genome shotgun sequence.